rnacentral:rRNA from 1 species
UACGGAGGGUGCAAGCGUUAUCCGGAAUCACUGGGUUUAAAGGGUGCGUAGGCGGGUAAAUAAGUCAGAGGUGAAAGCUCACAGCUUAACUGUGGAAUUGCCUUUGAUACUGUUUAUCUUGAAUAGUGUUGAGGUUAGCGGAAUGAGUCAUGUAGCGGUGAAAUGCAUAGAUAUGACUUAGAACACCAAUUGCGAAGGCAGCUAGCUAGGCAUAUAUUGACGCUGAGGCACGAAAGCGUGGGGAGCGAACAGG